GGAGAGCUGGGGAACUAGAGAUGAGGAAGUGCAGCUGAAGGGCUGGCUAAUGAAAACACCUGCAAGCUACUAGAAAGGGAGCUUUAAGGUUCUCCAGUCUUUCAGACCUUUCGGCUCUUCAAUAUAUUCUCAUUUAAAUUGGGUUUUCAGAGUUAAUGCUUCACUGAGAUGAAUGGGAUAGUUCACAUCUCUCAAGGCUAUUGUUUCAGGCUGUCUGCAAACUCAGGAAAACAGCAUUGUGUUUGUUUACACUCAGCUCAAUUUAUGGAGGUUGUCUUUGCAAUCACAAGGGCAUGAAACAUAAGUACUCUAGGUGACACAUUAGAGAGUACCCAUUAUACAAGGAUGACAACACUUUUAUUGCAAGGUUAUCCGGAGACAAUUACUGAUCACAGGUACCUGAAAUCUUUGAAAAUCAGUCUGAAGUCCUUUUCUGUACCUAUGUCUGGAGGUUCGAUAGAGGUUUACCAAGACUGGCCCCGGUCCUGAGCUAAAAGGACCUCUCUUAGAAGUGGAACGUUUCCUUGGCUGGUUCAAUUCUUGGCCUUGCUAGUGAAACUACCAACAAGAGUGACAAGAAGCUGUUCUACUUCAAAGGAGAAGAUGAACAAGAGACAGAAGAGGAUAUUUCUAAUGGUCAAAACCAACUUCAAACCAAAAGGCUGCUUUGGAGGUCUGAAAAAGAAUAAAUGUGUGUGAAAAGAAAAACACUAUGUCUGCCCAGCCAUGAAAUUUCUGAACUAUGUGGCAGAUACUGCUUAGUGCACUUUGAUUGAAGAACGUAUGGUUUACCUAAUAGGAUAUAUGUGAAACAACAGAGAAGAAGGAGGAUGCAACACAUGCAGCUAUGAGUUGUAAUGCUAUGUUUAGUCUUUCCUGCCUGAUGUAGAGGGUUGGAAUGGAUGAUCAAACCUAUCAUCUGUAAUUCUAGGGAAGAGAUUUUGACAACCUAGAAACCACAAGAGUAAAGCUUAACUGAUUUGUAAUACCAUUAAUACCCCCAAACAUGCAUAGAUUUUAAUUUAUUCAUGUAGUAAUUAUUUACAGGCAU